GAUGAACGCUGGCGGCGUGCCUAAUACAUGCAAGUCGAGCGAACAGACGAGGAGCUUGCUCCUCUGACGUUAGCGGCGGACGGGUGAGUAACACGUGGAUAACCUACCUAUAAGACUGGGAUAACUUCGGGAAACCGGAGCUAAUACCGGAUAAUAUAUUGAACCGCAUGGUUCAAUAGUGAAAGACGGUUUUGCUGUCACUUAUAGAUGGAUCCGCGCCGCAUUAGCUAGUUGGUAAGGUAACGGCUUACCAAGGCGACGAUGCGUAGCCGACCUGAGAGGGGGUAGGGCCCACGGGAAGGUGAAACGCGGCCCAGAUCCCUAGGGGAGGCAGAGGGAGGGACUUGCCGGAAAGGGGGGAAAGCCUGCGGGAGGAACGGCGGGGGGGUGAAGAAGGUCUUCGGACGGUAAAACGCUUUUAUGGGGGAAAAAAAAAUGUGCAAGUAACUAUGCGCGUUUGAAGGGAACUUAAUAAGAAGGCCCGGGCAAACUAGGG
rnacentral:rRNA from 1 species